rnacentral:rRNA from 1 species
ACUCCUACGGGAGGCAGCAGUGGGGAAUAUUGCACAAUGGGCGCAAGCCUGAUGCAGCCAUGCCGCGUGUAUGAAGAAGGCCUUCGGGUUGUAAAGUACUUUCAGCAGUGAGGAAGGUGGAUAUGUUAAUAGCAUAUUCUAUUUGUACGUUAGCUGCAGAAGAAGCACCGGCUAACUCCGUGCCAGCAGCCGCGGUAAGUACGGAGGGUGCGAGCGUUAAUCGGAAUUACUGGGCGUAAAGCGCAUGCAGGUGGUUUGUUAAGUCAGAUGUGAAAGCCCGGGGCUCAACCUCGGAAUUGCAUUUGAAACUGGCAAACUAGAGUACUGUAGAGGGGGUAGAAUUUCAGGUGUAGCGGUGAAAUGCGUAGAGAUCUGAAGGAAUACCGGUGGCGAACGGCGGCCCCCGUGGACAGAUACUGACACUCAGAUGCGAAAGCGUGGGAGCAAACAGGAUUAGAUACCCCGUGUAGGUCAGUC